UCAAGUGGGUAGUUUAAGCUAGAAUGUGAGUUUUGGGGACUCGAGGUCUUUGGUUGGCUAAAGCCUCUUGAG
rnacentral:tRNA from 1 species